rnacentral:rRNA from 1 species
AGACCCGAAACCCGGUGAUCUAGCCAUGGGCAGGUUGAAGGUUGGGUAACACUAACUGGAGGACCGAACCGACUAAUGUUGAAAAAUUAGCGGAUGACUUGUGGCUGGGGGUGAAAGGCCAAUCAAACCGGGAGAUAGCUGGUUCUCCCCGAAAGCUAUUUAGGUAGCGCCUCGUGAAUUCAUCUCCGGGGGUAGAGCACUGUUUCGGCAAGGGGGUCAUCCCGACUUACCAACCCGAUGCAAACUGCGAAUACCGGAGAAUGUUAUCACGGGAGACACACGGCGGGUGCUAACGUCCGUCGUGAAGAGGGAAACAACCCAGACCGCCAGCUAAGGUCCCAAAGUCAUGGUUAAGUGGGAAACGAUGUGGGAAGGCCCAGACAGCCAGGAUGUUGGCUUAGAAGCAGCCAUCAUUUAAAGAAAGCGUAAUAGCUCACUGGUCGAGUCGGCCUGCGCGGAAGAUGUAACGGGGCUAAACAAUGCACCGAAGCUGCGGCAGCGACACUGUGUGUUGUUGGGUAGGGGAGCGUUCUGUAAGCCUGUGAAGGUGUACUGUAAGGUA